rnacentral:rRNA from 1 species
UACAGAGGGUGCGAGCGUUAAUCGGAAUUACUGGGCGUAAAGCGCACGUAGGCGGCUUGGUAUGUCGGGUGUGAAAUCCCCGGGCUCAACCCGGGAACUGCAUCCGAAACUGCCUUGCUCGAGUAUGGGAGAGGGAAGUGGAAUUUCCGGUGUAGUGGUGAAAUGCGUAGAUAUCGGGAGGAACACCAGUGGCGAAGGCGACUUCCUGGCCUGUUCUUGACGCUGAGGCGCGAAAGCUAGGGUAGCAAACGGG